GUUCUGAUGAGCUAGAUUUUAAGAGAAUAUCAUAUGGUUCAGAUGGAGACUCCACAGAGUUCACCAAAUGCAUCCGCCUAACUCACCUUACAAGUGGAAGUGGCAAACCUGUCCUCCUCUUGCAGCAAAAAAGAAGAUGUUAGCUUAAUGAAGAGCUGGGACACACAAAGAUGACAGCCUGCAUCAGCCACUUCAGCACCUCCCAGCACAUAAGUCCAAGUAAAACUCUUGAUUCCAGGGGAAAUUUCUUUUGGUUGGUUCCAGGGGAAAUUUCUUUCUUUGGUUAAGAGAAGUGACACUUGAAUGACAAAAAGGAAGAGGAAGAAAAACUGGUUGAACAUAUUUUUGAUGUCAUCAAUGUCAGAAAGAGGGUGCCACGUUCAAGGACAAAGCAUCAAAGAAAUGACU